rnacentral:rRNA from 1 species
GACGAACGCUGGCGGCGUGCUUAACACAUGCAAGUCGAACGGAAAGGCCUCUUUCGGGGGGUACUCGCGUGGCGAACGGGUGAGUAACACGUGAGUAACCUGCCCUUGACUUUGGGAUAACUUCAGGAAACUGGGGCUAAUACCUGCUAGGAGCUCCUGCUGAACGGAGGGGGUUGGAAAGUUUCGGCGGUUGGGGAUGGACUCGCGGCUUAUCAGCUUGUUGGUGGGGUAGUGGCUUACCAAGGCGUUGACGGGUAGACGGCCUGAGAGGGUGACCGGCGACAUUGGGACUGAGAGACGGCCCAGACUCCUACGGGAGGGAGCAGGGGGGAAUAUUGCACAAGGGGUGGAAGCCGGAUGCAGCAACGCCGUGGGCGGGAUGACGGCCUUAGGGUUGUAAACCGAUUUCGCUCAUGACGAAGCUUUGUGUGACGGUAGUGGGUAAAGAAGCACCGGCUAACUACGUG